UACGUAGGGUGCGAGCGUUAAUCGGAAUUACUGGGCGUAAAGAGUGCGUAGGCGGUUCGUUAAGUCAGCUGUGAAAGCCCCGGGCUUAACCUGGGAAUGGCAUUUGGGACUGCAAGGCUUGAGUGCGGCAGAGGAGACUGGAAUUCCUGGUGUAGCAGUGAAAUGCGUAGAUAUCAGGAGGAAUACCGAUGGCGAAGGCAGGUCUCUGGGCUGACACUGACGCUCAUGCACGAAAGCGUGGGGAGCAAACAGG
rnacentral:rRNA from 1 species